rnacentral:rRNA from 1 species
CCUACGGGGGGCAGCAGUGGGGAAUAUUGCACAAUGGGGGAAACCCUGAUGCAGCGACGCCGCGUGAGCGAUGAAGUAUUUCGGUAUGUAAAGCUCUAUCAGCAGGGAAGAAACUGACGGUACCUGACUAAGAAGCCCCGGCUAACUACGUGCCAGCAGCCGCGGUAAGACGUAGGGGGCAAGCGUUAUCCGGAUUUACUGGGUGUACAGGGAGCGGAGACGGCGGUGCAAGAACGGUGUGAAAGCCCGGGGCUCAACCCCGGGACUGCAUUUGGAACUGGGCUGCUAGAGUGUCGGAGAGGCAGGCGGAAUGCCUAGUGUAGCGGUGAAAUGCGUAGAUAUUAGGAGGAACACCAGUGGCGAAGGCAGCCUGCUGGACGAUGACUGACGUUGAGGCUCGAAAGCGUGGGGAGCAAACAGGAUUAGAUACCCGUGUAGUC